UUCUGUUGAUAAUAUUUCUGCGCAUCUGUCACCUUAGGCGUCAACCUUGUUUGAAUUUUUGCCACCCUUCAUCAAGCGACAGGUUAUACUAAUCUUCCAUAUUCAUGUUGAUUGAGAGAAACCAUGAUUACUUUCUUUUUCCUAUUUUCUGCUAAUUUAUUCCUAGAUGCUCAAAGACACGUCUUAAAAGAAAAUUUGUCAUGAUACAGUUGCUCCUUCACCCUGAAUCAGAUGACUCUGCCGAGUUAUCGCAGAUAAGAAUACUUUAUAUUUAGGUACCGGUAAGUUGUGAAAUUUGUGAUGACCCAUAAACUUCGAUGUGGAUGCAUAUUUAGUAAAUAUUUCAAAAGCUUGGUGACUCAACUCAAAACUUGAUCAAACAGUCUCUUUUCAGAAUCAUGUAAUAGUCUUAGCUUUUUUAUUUUUUACCAGGCUACUAACGUAUGAUAGCAUUUUUCAGUCAAAUUCUAUACACUUCAGUGAUAUGAUGAUGUUCUGUGGCCAUUCUGCAGAUUGGAGUUGAGACUGUCCCAGUUCUUGUUGGUCCUGUUUCAUACUUGUUGCUUUCAAAGCUAGCGAAGGGUGUGGAGAAAUCAUUUUCUUCUGUCUUUGCUUGGGAAGAUCAUUCCAGUUUACAAGCUUCAGCCAAGGAGUCUCAUGAUGCAUCGCAAAAUACAACCAAUGACACACAGGAACUUCUUCGUGAAUCCCAACUUAGUGAAGCAGAAGAAAAGCAAACCAAGGAUCUUGCUGAAAGUUCUCAAGAAGAAGAUGCUUUUACUCCAUCUGUCCUCGCUACGAACUUAAAGCUUGAUUCUACUCCUCCAGUUGAUG